rnacentral:rRNA from 1 species
CCUACGGGUGGCUGCAGUGGGGAAUAUUGCACAAUGGGGGAAACCCUGAUGCAGCAACGCCGCGUGAGCGAUGAAGGCCUUCGGGUCGUAAAGCUCUGUCCUAAGGGAAGAAUACUGACGGUACCUUAGGAGGAAGCCCCGGCACACUACGUGCCAGCAGCCGCGGUAAUACGUAGGGGGCUAGCGUUAUCCGGAAUUACUGGGCGUAAAGGGUGCGUAGGCGGCCCUUCAAGGCAGAGGUGAAAGGCUACGGCUCAACUGUAGUAAGCCUUUGGAACUACUUAGCUUGAGUGCAGGAGAGGAGAGUGGAAUUCCUAGUGUAGCGGUGAAAUGCGUAGAUAUUAGGAAGAACACCAGUGGCGACGGCGGCUUUCUGGACUGUAACUGACGCUGAGGCACGAAAGCGUGGGGAGCGAACAGGAUUAGAUACCCUUGUAGUC